CAAGUCGAGCGGCAGCGCGGGGCAACCUGGCGGCGAGCGGCGAACGGGUGAGUAAUGCAUCGGAACAUGUCCAUUGGUGGGGGAUAGCCCGGCGAAAGCCGGAUUAAUACCGCAUGAGCCCGAGAGGGGAAAGUGGGGGACCGCAAGGCCUCACGUCGAUGGGUUGGCCGAUGUCCGAUUAGCUAGUUGGUGGGGUAAAGGCCCACCAAGGCGAUGAUCGGUAGCUGGUCUGAGAGGAUGAUCAGCCACACUGGGACUGAGACACGGCCCAGACUCCUACGGGAGGCAGCAGUGGGGAAUUUUGGACAAUGGGGGCAACCCUGAUCCAGCCAUUCCGCGUGAGUGAAGAAGGCCUUCGGGUUGUAAAGCUCUUUUGUCCGGAACGAAACGGGUAAGGCUAAUACUCUUGCCUACUGACGGUACCGGAAGAAUAAGCACCGGCUAACUACGUGCCAGCAGCCGCGGUAAUACGUAGGGUGCGAGCGUUAAUCGGAAUUACUGGGCGUAAAGCGUGCGCAGGCGGUUUUGUAAGCCAGAUGUGAAAUCCCCGGGCUUAACCUGGGAAUGGCAUUUGGGACUGCAAGGCUCGAGUGCGGCAGAGGAGACUGGAAUUCCUGGUGUAGCAGUGAAAUGCGUAGAUAUCAGGAGGAAUACCGAUGGCGAAGGCAGGUCUCUGGGCUGACACUGACGCUCAUGCACGAAAGCGUGGGGAGCAAACAGGAUUAGAUACCCUGGUAGUCCACGCCCUAAACGAUGUCGACUGGUUGUUGGGGGUUUGACACUCUCAGUAACGAAGCUAACGCGUGAAGUCGACCGCCUGGGGAGUACGGCCGCAAGGUUAAAACUCAAAGGAAUUGACGGGGACCCGCACAAGCGGUGGAUUAUGUGGA
rnacentral:rRNA from 1 species